rnacentral:rRNA from 1 species
GUAAGGAAUAUUGGUCAAUGGGCGGAAGCCUGAACCAGCCAUGCCGCGUGCAGGACGACGGCCCUACGGGUUGUAAACUGCUUUUGCCCGGGAAUAACCCCCCGCUCUUGAGCGGGGCUGAACGUACCGGGAGAAUAAGGAUCGGCUAACUCCGUGCCAGCAGCCGCGGUAAUACGGAGGAUCCGAGCGUUAUCCGGAUUUAUUGGGUUUAAAGGGUGCGUAGGCGGCCUGUUAAGUCAGGGGUGAAAUACGGCAGCUCAACUGGCGCAGUGCCCUUGAUACUGACGGGAUUGAAUACCGGUGAAGGCGGCGGAAUGAGACAAGUAGCGGUGAAAUGCAUAGAUAUGUCUCAGAACCCCGAUUGCGAAGGCAGCUGCCUAACCGGCGAUUGACGCUGAUGCACGAAAGCGUGGGGAUCGAACAGGAUUAGAAACCCUUGUAGUCC